UCUAUAUAAAUAUCAAUUUAAAUAUCUGUUUUAUAGGAAUAUAUAAUUGUGUAUUUCACGCACUUUAGAAUAUAUUAAUAUUUUCCUACUAUAUAUAGUACGUUGCAUAUAUACAAUAGAUUGUUUGUAUAUAAAAAUAAAAUAAUAAGAAGAGCUGAGGAAAACUUGUAGGCUCUGUGAAUUUAUUGACAAACUGUCAGGUUGUUGAAAUGUGGGAAAAGAUUUCCCCCAGGACAACUAAUUCCAUUUCAAAGAGCUUCUGGAGGUCAGUGAACAGUUAAUACAGAGCAGGGUUCACUUUCAAUAGACAGUUCUAGAGACCCACUUUGGGCUAGCUUAAUUAACUAGUAUAAAUAUAGUGUGUGUCAACACAUGUACUAAUGCCAAAUGAUUAUUAGUAUUUAAUAUUGGUUACUCUGUAUUCUCUGAGGUAUUGGGGGUAAGGAGAUUGAUCUUGUACACUGAACGUUUCAGUGGUUUAAAUGGAGAAACAGGCACAAGCAGCCAGCUUAUUUCAGUCUCGUUCUCAUAUUUGUUUUUUUCUGUUUGUUCACCUGUGAACCACCUUGAUUCUUCCCUUUCCUUUCCUUUGUUUCCCCAAACAUUCCAAAAUAAAUUCACAAUAUCCUUAAAGCAUGUCUUAAUAAAAUUCUAUGUAAAAUUGAUCUCUUAUUCCAGGAUAAAUUUUCUAAUUUUCCCCUUUGAGAUGCAUAAUCUUGUGUGUCCUUCUUAUCAAAUACAAAGUUCUGUGUUAACCCUUUCAAGAUUACAUGUGAAUGUUCCUGUGGUGGCUCAUCACAGAGCAGCUGUAGAGUUCUGGUGUCUUAGUUCUUAGUGUUUUUGUUCUGCAUGUUCAAUUUCCUCUUUUUCCCAUUUUUCUCCCUUGCUUGCAUUGAAUUGCCAUGGACUGGAUAGAUAUGAUUAUUGGCACUAUUACAAAAUUCAUUUUACAUAGCAUAGGCCAAUUGUUUAAUGGAAGUCAUAGUAUCAAAUAAACCAAGUGAUCAGUGUGACUGACUUGGACACUUCGAUACUUAGUAGGAUAAGCUCUUCCUCCUUUAUUUACUUGUUUGGAACAAUUUAACAGGUUAUUUCAGGGAGAGUUGAAUUGUGAUUUAAUUGUUACAAGAAAUGCAUUUUAGUCCUUCCUAUUAAGCUUUAAAUUCAUAUUCAAAUAAAUCGUAUUUCAAAUAAUCUUAAAGCUUUGGUAUCAAUAUGAUAGUAUUACACAUUUUAUUUUAUUUGAUGCUUACGAGUAACCAACAAGUGUGUGAGUACCGAUGUCUCUAGUGAGACAAUAGAAUGUAGUUAUGGACCUUCCUCUGUUCCAAGCAGACACAGGUUUUUCCUGCUGGGUAAGAAAGUGGUGCUGGUAUUGAGUGUUUGGGGGUAUUUAUAAAUGAGAGAAAUAAAAAGCUCCUCUGUAGGUUGCACUUGGCAAUGUUAACUGUUUCUUCAGAACUGAAGAGCUGCCUCCAUGGCUCGGUUGGGUCAGUGAUAUGUACCUGUACUGUGGAAUUUCUUUUCAUGCUGUGGCAUUGGAAUAGGUGCCAAACUGAAUGCUGGAAGGGGGAAGAGGAAAGAGCUGUGAGGGGGAGAGAUGAGAUUAGAGAAUAGCAAAGACCAGAGAACCUGAAACUCUGCACUGGGCGACUGAGGAUCCCUUGAAACCGUUCCCCAUUCCCUACCCUCUCAUGAUAUGCAAUAACAAAUCUGGAGUUCUUUUCAAACAGAUGUAGAAAUCCUUUCUUCCCCUGCAAGCAUAGGAAACUGUGAACGUUUUUUAGUCAUUAAGGGAUUCUUUCAUCCUAAUAGCUGAGACAGUAAAUAUUCUCUGUAUUUAUAGUCAGGUUUUAAGGCUGAAAACAUAACACUCUCAUGGUCAUUGAAAGUUUCACAGAAUUGAUUGAAAAAUAGCAUGUAUUUUUCCCCUAUUCUUUGUGUGUGCAGGUUCCAAGCAAAAUUGUGAAAGAAUCAAACUAACAUUUCAUUCAAAAUAUUGGGUUUGGUUUUAUUCCCCCCCAUUUAGUCUGUAUUGGAAUUCUGCUAAUUUCCAUACCAGUGGAUGAGUAGCUCUAGUCUAGAUGAGGUGGUCUCUUCCCCAGCUUGCCCCUCCGGGGUGGGCUGGGUCACCUGAAGCUUUUUUCCCUUGUCCUGUGGUUCAGCCUCGGGCAGGUAUCUCCGAUGCCGUCUUGCAUCUAAAAUAUCCACCUAUGUUUGGAUGGUGAGACAGUGGCCUUUUCUGCCACCCAGUGUUUAAAUCCUGCAUAAAACUUAUGCUGUAUUUUCUGGGGAGAACAGGUCCACUGCUUUUGCUUGACUUUAGGAUCUGACUCUUUAAAGACAUGUUUAUCUUCUACUGUCUUCAGCAGCCUCUGUUAAGCUCCGUGUUUAAGCUUCCUUAAACAGCUGUUCUUCACCCAAAUUGUUUUUCUUUUUUCUGAUUGCCUGCUUUACCAGUCUUUGUCUGCCACUGAGGCAACGAUAGUAGGUGGAAUGAACUGGAACAUAAAUCUUUCAGAGUUUAGCGUUCUGUUAGUAGGGGUACCUGUCUGAGCUCAUAAUUCUCUAAACAUAGCCGUUCAGAAUACUUUUGGUUUUGUUUUCCUUCAAUUCAGCGAUGAAUUCUAAAUGCCCAUGGAGGUAAAGACUUGUUGUCUUCUUUGGGAGCAUCCCCAUGGUUUGUAACAGUUUUCAGGAUGAAAUGGAUUCACUGCUACUCUUUAUUGCUUACACCAUUAGCAUUUUAAAUAGAUUUAAGCUGAUGCUCUGUGGAGUAUCAUGGUAUUAAAGAUUUUGGUUCCUUGCCUAGUGCUCUUAAGGAAAAUUGGCACAUGAGCAUGGGAUGCAGGCUGCAGGUGACACGUUGUGUGUGUUCUUGCCAUCCACCUCAGGGGCCCUUUAUUGACACACGUUUUAGAGUGCAAAGAUUUGACUGCAAACUUCAUGUAUACAAAGGAUAGAUAGGAUUUAAAGGCUGCUAGGACACUUACUAUUUCGGAGAUGACAGCUGAACAGACUGCUGGCCAGGCAGGUGUCAGUCAGGUGGGAGAAAGGAGACUGCCACUACUUCUCAAAGACCCUUGGUGUUACUGGGUUGUCCUCGUCACUUUUUCUUUCUUUUGCCUUUUUUUUGCCAUGUUCUUCCUUCUGAAUCCUAGUGCUCCCAGCAAACCUGUCUGCCUGUAACUUUGCCUUUUUUUAUCUUGUCUAGUUCUAAUCUAAAGACUUUUCAGUUUUUCUCUCAUCUAAGGAAUUUUCUCAGAAGCUUAAACUGUGCAGGUUUUGGGAUACAGGAAUAGGAGAGAGAAAAGCAAGCAGGAGUAGUUUGCACAUAAUUAGUUAAUCAUAUCCAUUUGACUCCCCAGAGUGUAAAAACUGAAGUGUUUCUUUCUACAGCUUCUGAGAAUUUAGCAAGGUGCAGGUGUUAUUCUCCCAGCUGCCUUUUGGCACUAGUAAAGGCAUCUAAUGCCAUGCCAUGGUUGCAACAAAUGUUUUCACUGGGAGAAUCUUUGGCCAUAAUUCCAUCUGGACUAAAAGUAAUGCAGUGAGAGUUGACAAUCAGAGAGAUUCUCAGUCAUGUGAUGUCUUUUUUGGUAUAUUGUUGAUUCUAGGGUAAUUACAAUAGAACAGGGAUGUAAGUUGUGUUUCAUUAUGUAAAACAUAAAGCUGUGCCAAUUUUAAUUCAUUUCCUGCCAGUCUUCCUCUACCAAAUUAGUUUAGGAAAGCUCUAUACUUAAAAGAUCUGCAUAAUAUGCAUUGGAAUUUCAUUUGGCUGGUAAAGAUUAUUUCUUAAUGGCUCUUUUAAGGAAGCACUGCUUGCAGCAUAAUAGUGAGAUUUAUUCUUCCCCCACCCCUCAUAAAUGUGAUCAUUUUGAUUAAAGAUUGUCUUUAAAAACACUGCCUGCCUAUGUUCCUUAGCACUCUGCUUCUAAUAGACUGGAUUUUGAUGGUGACUGUGACAGUAUAAAAAUACUUUAUAAAAUUUAAACCUUAAAGUUUAAGACCUUCCAUGCCUAAAAAUCUUUGGUUUUUUUUUGUUUUCUCUUCUUUUUAGUCACCUUUGUAAAUGCUAGUAAGCAACACUUUCAAGUAUGGGGACACUGCAGUUUAUAAAUCACAAUUUUUGAAGUAAAUGAUUACUGAAAUCAUUAACAGAAGGGAUGAUACAUAGGAACUUACUGCAAUGUAAUCAGAAAAAUUAAAAUAAUAAUGAAAAAAAGUUUCAGCCAUGAUCAUAUGAUUUAUAGUAUAUGCAGUCGAGAGUUGCUGUAUAGUUGCUUUAUUUUUAAAGGUUUUAAUUAAAUAAGCUUAAUUGUUUUACUGUAUUUUGGUUUUUGCUAAAUGUUGUUCUGUGUUUUGGUAUAAUGGACUGUGAAGCUUUAAAUCCACAGAUGCUCUAAAACUCAAGCUUCACAUAAGAAUCCAUGUGGCUUUCUUUGAAGUGUCUAGUUUCCCAAAUUAGCCUCCAACAUAGCAUUCACAGCUUUGUGUGAAGUUUCUAAAAUGUAGCUGCACAGAAAGUGGUACAGUGAUAAAGCAAGAUAUUGAGAUGUGAAAAAAGGCACACUGGAAAUUGCAGUCAAUCGUCCUAAAUAUUGUCAGGUAGCACAUUUUGAAAUAUAGAGGUGACUACUUGUAGCCAAUUAAAUUCAGGCAUAUCUUCAAUAAAUGCAGUCACAGUUACCUGAAGCUUAUGGUAUUUCAGUAAAUAUCUAAAAUUAGCCAAGAUUCAGCACAUUGCAGAGAAUCAAUUUGCACGAGUCUAAAUGCAAUAAUGAUCUUGCAUUUAGUAAUCCACACUUGAAUUGACAACUUCCACAGUGUUCUGAAGUGAUUGCUGUAGCAGUUUACAUGAGCAGCCUCUGUUGUGAAUAGAAGAUUGUGCUGGAGAAAAGGCUGAUAGUUGUGUAAGUUUGAGAAUAAUCCACAAAUGAAAUGAGGGAUGUUGAAUUUUCUUUUUAAUAGGGUUUUAUCCAAAAAAAUUCAAGGUUGGAGGAAAAUUAGGUAUGGUACAACUCAUAGCAGGAAAAGAAGAUGGAAACAUUAAGACAAGUGUUUAGGGAUAUUUGAUUCUAUUAUGUACUUGUUGUAUAAUGCACAGAUCCACUUGAAAUCCAUUUUUUGAAAGCUUAUUGGAGAGAGCAUAAAAUAAAUAACAUGGAACAAAUCAAUUGUCUACAAAGUAGAAAACAAUGAAAAUGCUGUAGCAUUUCAAAAACUCAAUAGCGUAUGUAUGGACAACAGAUCAGAAAUAAUCUGCAAAUAAUAAUUAUAUUGGUCUGAUAUAUUGCUUACAGUCUUGAAAGGGGUGCCAUGUUUUCUUGAGAAUGGCAUUAAGACAAAAGUUCCUGUCUCUAGAAGGUGACUGUAAGUGGAGAUAGGGAGCAAUGCACACAACAGAGCUGGGCAGCCUGCUGCUUCAGGGUGUAGCUUUCUCUGUCCAAACAAAUUCCUUUCCAUCUGUAGCCACUGACUAAGAUUCAGCUUGGGAUGGGAUUGUAGUGGUGAUAGCGUGCUAAAAUUUAGGGAAAAUCUAUAAGGACACACUCAGCUGUAUAUAAAUGUUUUCUGUAGGGGUUAUUUAACUGCCAGAAUGACUUUGGAACUGAUGUUAUUGAAAGAAAUUUUGUUAGAGUUGAUACUUAAGAAAUUAUUGGUGAAAUUGAAAAGAAGAUUU